UACGUAGGGUGCGAGCGUUGUCCGGAAUUAUUGGGCGUAAAGGGCUCGUAGGCGGUUUGUCGCGUCGGGAGUGAAAACUCAGGGCUUAACCCUGAGCCUGCUUCCGAUACGGGCAGACUAGAGGUAUGCAGGGGAGAACGGAAUUCCUGGUGUAGCGGUGAAAUGCGCAGAUAUCAGGAGGAACACCGGUGGCGAGGGCGGUUCUCUGGGCAUUACCUGACGCUGAGGAGCGAAAGUGUGGGGAGCGAACAGG
rnacentral:rRNA from 1 species